CAACCGCCUCGCCGUUCCCCUGCUCCACCCCGACACCCAGCCGUUGCGCCGUUCCUCUCGUCCUCGCCGGUCUCCGGCCGGCCGGAGCCCGGAGCCCAGCCGCCCAGGAGGCUCCCCGCUCCCGCCUCCCCUUCCCGGCUUCCCACCCGCCCGGUCCAGGCGUCCAGGCGUCCAGCCGCACCCCCUGCUUGUGCGCGGCUGCGCCCCUGCCCUGUGCGCGCCUCUGCUGGCCUGCCCCCGCCCGGCCGCCCCCCUGCAAUGUCGGCGAACAAAAUUGUUGAGGAAUGAAGAGGGCCGGACGAGACAUUGUUUCUCUUUUUCAGAGACAAGCUAUUAAGAUAGGGAAUAAGAAGAAGGCAGGGAAUAUGUCGGAUGUGGCCGAAGAGCAAACCGGAGAACUUGUGUGUAUGCCAGAAACAUAGUCUUUUUGAACUUCUCAAGGUAUGUACUAUGGUCUGUGUAGUAUGUACUAUGUAGGCUUUUUUAUGCAAGACGGAGAUUUAAUUGAGAAUUUUAGUGUUUUUGCAAGACCAUAUUGUGAUAUUGAUCUAUUUCUUUGUGAUAUUGGUAAGAACUUUUACAUGUCAUAUUGCUUAUAA